rnacentral:misc_RNA from 1 species
AAGAGCCGGAUGGGCAGGAAAGCCGCUUGUCCGGUUCUGAGAGGGGGCGGGUAUCAACUGUCGUCAUGGGUGAGAUAUUGUGGCACCGCCGGGAAACCAGGCGGCAAACGGAGAAAACAAACUUUACCCUAUCGCGCUGGAAGUGCCUGUCCUACUCAAAA